rnacentral:lncRNA from 1 species
GAAUAUGAUUAUAUGACAGAAGUUGUAUUGUGGGGCAACGACUUGGGUACUGAUUCUUAUCCGUGUAUUCAAAGUGUUUGUUUUGUAGGCAUACAUAUUUUGAUUAUUACUUGAUACUCAUUAGAUGGUGAUUCUUCUCGGAGAAGCAAUAAAUGUCUCUUUGUCCAUGAUCUCGGAAUAUACAUAUAGGCUAUGAUUCAUCCAUUAUUUC